AUUGAACGCUGGCGGCAUGCUUUACACAUGCAAGUCGAACGGUAACAGGCCGCAAGGUGCUGACGAGUGGCGAACGGGUGAGUAAUGCAUCGGAACGUGCCCAGUCGUGGGGGAUAACGCAGCGAAAGCUGUGCUAAUACCGCAUACGAUCUAUGGAUGAAAGCGGGGGACCGUAAGGCCUCGCGCGAUUGGAGCGGCCGAUGUCAGAUUAGGUAGUUGGUGGGGUAAAGGCCUACCAAGCCGACGAUCUGUAGCUGGUCUGAGAGGACGACCAGCCCCACUGGGACUGAGACACGGCCCAGGCUCCUACGGGAGGCAGCAGUGGGGAAGUUUGGACAAUGGGCGCAAGCCUGAUCCAGCAAUGCCGCGUGCAGGAAGAAGGCCUUCGGGUUGUAAACUGCUUUUGUACGGAACGAAACGGUCUGGGUUAAUACCCUGGGCUAAUGACGGUACCGUAAGAAUAAGCACCGGCUAACUACGUGCCAGCCGCCGCCGUAAAAC
rnacentral:rRNA from 1 species